AACAAACGCUGGCGGUAUGCUUAACACAUGCAAGUCGAACGAACAAAAUUGGGGCUUGCUCCAAUUUUAGUGAGUGGCAAACGGGUGAGUAACACGUGGGAAUCUACCUAUCAGUACGGAAUAACAUUUGGAAACAGAUGCUAAUACCGUAUAUUCUCCUAGGAGGAAAGAUUUAUCGCUGAUAGAUGAGCCCGCGUAAGAUUAGGUAGUUGGUAGGGUAAUGGCCUACCAAGCCGACGAUCUUUAGCUGGUCUGAGAGGAUGAUCAGCCACACUGGGACUGAGACACGGCCCAGACUCCUACGGGAGGCAGCAGUGGGGAAUAUUGGACAAUGGGCGAAAGCCUGAUCCAGCAAUACCGCGUGAAUGAUGAAGGCCUUAGGGUUGUAAAGUUCUUUUAGUUGGAAAGAUAAUGACGGUACCAACAGAAAAAGCCCCGGCUAACUCCGUGCCAGCAGCCGCAGUAA
rnacentral:rRNA from 1 species